UACGUAGGGGGCGAGCGUUGUUCGGAAUUACUGGGCGUAAAGGGCGUGUAGGCGGUGCGGUAAGUCGGGCGUGAAAUCCCCGGGCUUAACCCGGGGCGGUCGUUCGAAACUGCCGUGCUAGAGUGCAGGAGAGGGAAGUGGAAUUCCCGGUGUAGCGGUGAAAUGCGCAGAUAUCGGGAAGAACACCCGUGGCGAAGGCGGCUCUCUGGGACGGUACUGACGCUGAGACGCGAAAGCGUGGGGAGCGAACAGG
rnacentral:rRNA from 1 species